rnacentral:lncRNA from 1 species
UGACAGCCCCUUGCAAUCAGCACCUCUUUCUUUGAUUAAAAUAUAUACAUGUGGUUGGCAGACAAUAUUUCACCUCUGCAGCAUUUUUCAAGUGGGCCGUGUAGUUUUUUUAUAUUGGACCGUGAAGGUUGCCUUAGUUUUCUCCAAUGCUGGACCACUUCUUCUUUAAUCUCAAAUGUGUCCUCAAAUAUUGAUUCCCCAAUGGCCUUNCUAGAUGUUCUCCAAGCCCAAAUAAAAAUGAAAUGCAAGNGGAUGNUGAUUGCACCUCAUUUAAUCUCCAAAUGUCCC